UGGUGAUGAGAGACUCUAAAGAAGUCACAGCUUGCUUCCUUUCUGAAGAACGUUGUGAUUUUGGCUCACGUGCAGUGCACGACAACUCUUCUCCAACAGCAUGACAUAGUCCACUGUCUCAGGAUCCCAUUUUUCCACCAGCUGCAGAGCAGGAAGGGACAAAUCAAAGUGUGAGCAUUCGGAUCACCAACGCUGUGACCUCGCUGUGUGAACGGGAGCUACUACAGGAAGGAAGCUUACAAAUGAGCUGCAUGGAUCCCACAUUUUGCUAAAAUCAAAUAGGACCUUUCUCCUCUUUGUUGAAUGCCGUAAUACACAAGAAAUAAGCCAGCAGGAUGCUCAUGUCCAAGGUUUCCCUUUAUCUACCACACGAGUUGGCAUGAAACAACUUCUGGGGUUCAAAUCUUCUGAACAAUGAUACAAGUCUUGGCAAAUUUCAAGAAUAAUUUAAAGAGGAAAUAAAUAGCUUUUUGUUUAACUUGGAUCAAUUAUCUCCUAUUGCUCCCAGCUUCAUGCCAGGUACUCUCCACUGUGCCUGGGAAAUAUGAAUCCCUGCCCUCAUGAAAAAACAUUGGCCAUGAGGAUUUUCCCUACAACCCAAGAACUAUUUGAAGUUUGAAGUCUUUCAGCCCAGACAACACUGGCUAUUUUCACCUUUGCCUUCAACUAUAAAGGCUGGGCUCUCUCUGCAGGA
rnacentral:lncRNA from 1 species